rnacentral:misc_RNA from 1 species
UUUCCGUAGGUGAACCUGCGGAAGGAUCAUUAACAAAAUCUACAACACACGCACCCUGUUGAAUGUAUGUGGUGAGGGAGGCGGGUAGGGGUGGUGGUGGUGGUGGUGGUCUUUGAUCCUCACCCAUCAUCAUCUCUUCUGUCGCCACCACCCUCAUCACAACAACAAGCUCAUGCAUGUGUCGUCUGACUAUAUUCACCCGGAGAGGUGAAUAUAUGAUGCUGACACUGUGCAUGUCUUGGGCGAGCAAAGAGAGAGUCAUCAUGUGGUGGUGGCAUGUGUAUGUAUGUAUGUAUGUAUGUAUAUGUAUAUAUAUAUGUACACACCCCACCACAUGAUGCCACCCUCUUCUCGCACAUAUCUUAGACUAUUGAUUAGACUGAUGUAUAUACAUCUGAGAGAUAGAUAUCAUCUCAUAACGUUAACAACUUUUAACAAUGGAUCUCUUGGCUCUU